rnacentral:SRP_RNA from 2 species
GCUGGGCGUGGUGGCUCAUGCCUGUAAUCCUAGCACUUUUGGAGGCCGAGUUGGGUGGAUCACCUGAGGUCAGGAGUUGGAGCCCAGCCUGGCCAACAUGGUGAAACCCCAUCUCUA